rnacentral:rRNA from 1 species
CAGUCGCCGCGGGAAUACGUAGGGUGCAAGCGUUGUCCGGAAUUAUUGGGCGUAAAGAGCUCGUAGGCGGUCUGUCGCGUCGAAUGUGAAAAUCCGAGGCUCAACCUCGGACCUGCAUUCGAUACGGGCAGACUAGAGUUCGGUAGGGGAGUCUGGAAUUCCUGGUGUAGCGGUGAAAUGCGCAGAUAUCAGGAGGAACACCGGUGGCGAAGGCGGGACUCUGGGCCGAUACUGACGCUGAGGAGUGAAAGCGUGGGGAGCAAACAGGAUUAGAUACCCCGGUAGUCCCUGUCUCUUAUAC